rnacentral:tRNA from 1 species
GCAAUUUUAUUGCUUAGUGGUUAGAGCUUAGGUCUUGUAACCGAAAGGUCGCGGAUCGAAUCUCGCUAGAGGCU